UUCACAUGAAACCCCCCGCCUUUUUCUUCACAUUUCGAAACUUACUUUUGCUGUGGUGCCCUGCUCCAUUCGAACCCUAAACCAUAAACGACGUCCUCGGAGAUCGCGGCAUCGUCACCGGAAUCGGAUAACAGACCGGUGCUAUCUGAUUAUCGCAGCAUGACGGGAAAUUAGAUUUUUGAUUUAAGGGAAACGAUGCAAAACCUUGGUAAAAUAAAAGAUUCUUACCAGGUAUCAUUUUGUUUUGAUUAACGAGCCAUUGCCAUAUGCUUGUUGCAUACCGAUAUGUGUUUCUGCAUGUAUAAACAAUAUCUGAUUUCGCAAAUACUAUUGCCAGCUGAAGGCAUUGCAUUGGUUGAAAUUAUUUCAGUCUUUCCUUUAGAUUGAGUUGUAAUUAAGAGCAAUAAGCUCUUGUCUGAGGCCUUUCACAACUGCAGUGCCAUUUGGAAUCCCUGUUUGACUUGACUAGGGUUUGGAAAAGCUGAUGAAUAACAGUCUGAUGCUGGUACAAUAAAAUCACUAAGGUAAUAAGUUUGCGCUAUCUAUGUGAUCACUCGCUUUAUUUAGAGGGUGGGGACUCCUUGCAAUUAAUAUCUUUUAAUUCGGAUUUCUUAGCUCUUUGGUCAUGGCAGGCUUCCAGAUGGUAUAUUAAUAGAUGAACGGCAUGAGAACAUAAAAGAUUUUUGGGUGAUUUGAAUUUAUUCAAUAUUUCUUCUUUGAUUUUGGUUUAUAUGUUUAUUUAUUUUUAUUGCAGGUGGGAAGUAAAGUUGAAAAAUGGUAUAACUGAUUUCAAAACUUCCAUUGAUAUUUUAGCAAAUGCUAUGGUUGCAUAUAGAAACGUUAUACAAUACAACUAGCAUACACCUUGGAGGCCAAAUGAAACACAGUCUAGUUCAGGUUGACUCAUUUAGUAAACUGGUUAAAUUUCUGUUAAAUUUGGUGUAAACCCAUGCAAGAAGCUGGAAAAACUUCCAUUGGUUUUCUAGGGAGUGCUAUGUGAUAUACAGUUACACUCAAUUUCAUUUUAUUUUACUUAAUUGUUGAUGCAUGUAGAUGGUUUUCCAUUUGCUUAUGUUUGCUGUGAUGUUGGGGUUUAGCAGUUUUGUAAUAUUCUUGAUGUUUUAGUCAAAAGAUAUAUAUUAAUGGAAGAAAUGGACUUGUGAUGGUUUGGUUGGGGUUUGAUAAAGAGUGAAAUUAGUGCACAUUUAUUCUUAACCAUAAAUAUGAGUAUCAAGAAACUUAAUGGAAUUAAAUGCUGACUUCUAUAGUCGAUCUUCUUGCUGAGGUGAUCUUUUUUCUUCUGGUGGAAAUGAUGUAGCUUGGAUGAUUUUGUGGUGCAAUUGGAAAAUCACCAAAACAUACAUUGAGCAUAAGCAUUCAAACCAUCUAUUUUAUGUAUAAAUAAAAUGAUUGCCAAAGCAGAUGGGUGUUUAAAAGAAAGAAGAAAAAGGAAAUAUGAUAAGACUAGUUCUCUUUUUCAUUGAGUGUUGUAUUUAUUAGGAAUAGCAUUUUUUUGGAGUACUUAAUUUAGUGUAUCAAAAACUUUCUUUUUAUUUUUUUUCUUUUUGGUAAAUUUUGAAUUUAUUAAUUAGGACUCAGGCUAUACUAUUAUGUUUAAUAAUGUUUGAUGUGGGACCAUUGACCAAUAAUAUCAAAACUUUAUCAUCUGGCUGUAAUGGAUCUUUUAUUUGUAGGUUUGGGUGUUCAAGGAGAAGCAUCAGGCUCCAUUACUGAUGUUUCAUUAUUAUAAUAGCGACCAAAACUCAUGGGACACCAAAUGAAUAUCGCAAGGUAUUGAAGGAAUGGGCAGUUGCGUUUCAGUUUCAGUACUCUAAGCAGUGGCUAGGUACUUUUGCUUUUAUGGUUGAAGUUUAGUUCAGGUCAACCUUUUCAUCAUUCUUUUCGGGACUGCAACAGUUCUUCUCUUGGAAUCGAUGCUGUGGGCAAAGAUGUAGGCACAACAGGCAAGACACUCCUUUUUUUUUUUU